rnacentral:misc_RNA from 1 species
UCUCCGUAGGUGAACCUGCGGAGGGAUCAUUACUGAGUGAGGGUCUCCGUAUAAACCAUUUGUGAAUCUUACCUAUCGUUGCCUCGGCGGGUCGGGCUGAUGCUUGGGAUGGCUACGCUGUAGCUACCCUGCAGAGGCCGCCGCCGGUGGGAUUUUAAACUAUUGCCAUGUAUUGUCAUCUGAGAGUCUUAUGAUAAUAAGUCAAAACCUUUAACAACGGAUCUCUUGGUUCUGGCAUCGAUGAAGAACGCAGC